rnacentral:rRNA from 1 species
CACGUAGGCACCAAGCGUUGUCCGGAUUUAUUGGGCGUAAAGAGCUCGUAGGCGGUUCAGUAAGUCAGGUGUGAAAUCUUUGGGCUUAACCCAAAGCGUGCAUUUGAUACUGCUGUGACUUGAGUUCGGUAGGGGAGUGGGGAAUUCCUAGUGUAGCGGUGAAAUGCGCAGAUAUCAGGAGGAACACCGAUGGCGAAGGCAGGUCUCUGGGCCAUAACUGACGCUGAGAAGCGAAAGCAUGGGGAGCGAACAGG